rnacentral:rRNA from 1 species
UACGGGGGGGGCAAGCGUUGUUCGGAAUUACUGGGCGUAAAGGGUUCGUAGGUGGCCAAUUAAGUCAGACGUGAAAUCCCUCAGCUCAACUGGGGAACUGCGUCUGAGACUGGAUGGCUUGAGUGCAGGAGAGGAACGCGGAAUUCCAGGUGUAGCGGUGAAAUGCGUAGAUAUCCGGAAGAACACCGGUGGCGAAGGCGGCCCGCUGGGCUGUUGCUGACGCUGAGGCGCGACAGCGUGGGGAGCAAACAGG